UCGAAAGAUGAAAAGCACUUUGAAAAGAGGGUUAAACAGCACGUGACAAUUAGUUAAAAGGGAAGCGCUUGUGACCAGACUUGCGUCCGGUGAAUCACCCAGCUCUCGCGGCUGGGGCACUUCGCCGGCUCAGGCCAGCAUCAGCUCGCUGUCGGGGACAAAAGCUUCAGGAACGUAGCUCUCUUCGGGGAGUGUUAUAGCCUGUUGCAUAAUACCCUUCGGCGGGCUGAGGUACGCGCUCCGCAAGGAUGCUGGCAUAAUGGUCAUCAGCGACCCGUCUUGAAACACGGACCAAGGAGUCAACCUUAUGUGCGAGUGUUCGGGUGUCAA
rnacentral:rRNA from 1 species